rnacentral:rRNA from 1 species
GUCCAUGGCCAUACCACCCUGAACGUAGCUGAUUUUAUCUGGUCCUGGAAGCUAAGUUAGUGUUGGACCUGGUUAGUACUGGGAUGAGAGAUGCCCUGGGAAUACUGGGUGCUAUAGGCU